AUGGCCCCAUUGGAAUGCCUCGGACCCCCUUUGGAAAGACAAAGAAAAACCCUAGCACCCAGACUUCCGUCUUCUAGGGUUUCGUCAGUUCCAUCCCCAAAUGGCGGAUUCUUCUCGCAGAAGACCGAACAUAAAUGCCAAUUUGAAAAUGUACUAGAAACUAUCAGAUAUUGUAGAGAGUCUGCAUGCAUCGUAGUGAGAUAUAUGGAUGAAGGCCAACUAUCAAAUCACAUUGGUAUUUUGAGAUAUUAUUGCUUAACUUGGUGAUGAAGAAGAACACAGUUUCAGGAGGGUGUAACUCUAGAAUCAUAAUAGAGCAGAUUUUUCCUCAUAUCAUUUAUGAAGACUUUACAUCAAAAAUGCAAUACCAAGAAAAAAUGCUAACACUUGCAAUAGCAUGCACAACUGUAGAAUCGGUCGAUAGGCCAACAAUGCAAGAAGUGGUUAAUAGCAUGAAACUCCUAUGUGGAGAAUAAUGUACAGCAGUCAAAAUGACGCAGAGUUUUUAGGAUAGGAGGUUAAUAUCACUUCUACUGCUUUCCCUCGUAUCAUUUAUGAGACUUUACAUCAAAAAUGCAAUACCAUGAAGAAAAUGUUCGAUCUAUUGGAACACUUGCAAUGGCAUGCACAACUGUUAAACCGGUCGAUAGGCCAACAAUGCAAGAAGUGGUUCAUAGCAUGAAACUCCUAUGCGGAGAAUAAUGCACAGCAGUCAAAAUGGCGUAGAGUUUUGAUAGGAGCAGAGUUUUUAGGAUAGGAGGUUAAUAUCACUUCUACCAAUAUUAGAUUGAUGAUUUAGUUUGGUGAUGAAGAUUGUUUUUUUUUUUUUUUUGAACAUGUUCAGUUUGCUUAGAUCAAAUGGUGAUAUGACUGUUGUUAUUGUGAGUGACGCCAUUCUAAAGAUAAUUUUCAGGGGGUCUUUGUUUUGCAGCAUACAGUUUUUGAUAACAAAAGAAAUGUAAGGUGAUUGGAUAAUGCAUAAUCAUUUGUAAAUCAUUAGUCAUACAUUGUCAGGCAAUAUAAUCAAGCCUUGAAAUUGGUUCAGCAGAGGCAGUGGAUCGGUAUCA